ACGUGUUAUGCCGCCUAUACAGUUAUAGUAGUUAUACUACGGUGUUAUUGUAUUAGUUUAUUAUUUUGGUAUUUUUUUGUUACUUGUUACUACGAACCGGUCAUCGCUGCUACGGGUGUGAUGCUGCGACUUCCACCACUCCACCUCCCGCUCAAUCAUCGUCAUUAUAAUGUUAUACGAAUAUUACAUAUAUUAGGCGGCAAUUAUUCAUGAUAAUAGGCGGCACUGGGGCAGUGGCGACAAAAAAAGAAAGAUUCGAUAAAUUUUGCUAUGUACAGCAGUGAUUGGACGCAGAGCAGUGUACAACAUAAAAUUCUACUAUUAUAUGCCAUGCGGAUGAAUAACGCCGAAAAUUUGAAACUACAAUUGACGCAAAAUAAAAUAGUAAAUUCCUAAAUGUUCACUGAUAUUAUGCGGACAAUGUUUUCAAUAUUAUCAGUGUCGGAAAAAAUAUGUGCAAAGAAGACGUAGCAGGUAUAUGGAAUUUAAAUGUUCGGAUACUAUAUUACUUAAUAAAAUAUAAUAUAGUCGUCUAGAAUCCUGCAGAAUAUACACCCAAAAUAUAAAAUAGAAUAGCAUUUACAGAUAAUAAAUAUGCUAUGCUUUAGCUAAGGAUAUAAAAAACGCACAUAUAUCGUAUACUGGUUUAAAAAACAUGUAAACUAUACUAAUUAUUAAAUAUUAAUAAUUAUUAAACAGAUAAAAAGAGUACGUCAACACGAGCGCGUGCCGGACGGACGCGCAAAUCGCCGAUACACACGCUCAACUACUGUACGCCGGUGGAAUAGUAUAUAUAAUAUUCACUGACAAAAUAUUAUCGUCGUAUACGUACAGUAUACAUAGGUAUUAAUAUGUUCAUCACUAUUUCACUAUAGAUAUACAUUUAUAGACACUGUUGGCUGCAUGUUUGAAUGUUGAAUGUUGAUGUAACUAUAUAAUUCAUAUUUUUCUCUCCGAAAAAAUAUUAGAAUUACGCGAGUGUUUCCUAUAAUUAUUG